rnacentral:rRNA from 1 species
CCGGGAAGUAAGAAACCAACAGGGAUUGCCUCAGUAACGGCGAGUGAAGCGGCAAAAGCUCAAAUUUUAAAGCUGGCACCUUCGGUGUCCGCGUUGUAAUUUUGUGAGGCAUCUCCGGGUAGGGCGCCGGCCUAAGUUCCUUGGAACAGGACGUCAUAGAGGGUGAGAAUCCCGUGCUUGGCUGGCUGUCCCCGUCCAUGUGAGGUGUCUUCGACGAGUCGAGUUGUUUGGGAAUGCAGCUCAAAAUGGGUGGUAAAUUUCAUCUAAAGCUAAAUAUUGGUGGGAGACCGAUAGCGCACAAGUAGAGUGAUCGAAAGAUGAAAAGCACUUUGAAAAUAGAGUUAAAAAGUACGUGAAAUUGUUGAAAGGGAAGCGCUUGAGACCAGACUUCGGUGGGGGGUGAUCAGCUGUCCUUCUGGGCGGUGCACUUGCUCCCCUCCGGGCCAGCAUCGGUUGGGGCGGCGGGAUAAAGAUCCCGGGAAUGUGGCUCCUUUCGGGGAGUGUUAUAGCCCGGGUGAAUGCCGCCAGUUCCGACCGAGGACCGCGCCUUCGGGCUAGGAUGCUUGGCAUAAUGGUCUUCAGCGACCCGUCUUGAAACACGGACCAAGGAGUCUAACAUCUAUGCGAGUGUUUGGGUGUCAAACCCUUACGCGAAAUGAAAGUGAACGGAGGUGGGAACCCGCAAGGGCGCACCAUCGACCGGUCCUGAAGUCUUCUGAAGGAUCUGAGUAGGAGCAUAGCUGUUGGGACCCGAAAGAUGGUGAACUAUGCCUGAAUAGGGUGAAGCCAGAGGAAACUCUGGUGGAGGCUCGCAGCGGUUCUGACGUGCAAAUCGAUCGUCAAAUUUGGGUAUAGGGGCGAAAGACUAAUCGAACCAUCUAUGGGGU